UUCUCCGUAUUUACGUGCUUGUAACUCUGGCAUGACCUUUGUUCCAGUCUCUACCAGAGGGUGGUGCCUGGAUUGAAGUGGAAAAGCCGUUCUCCAGCCAUGACCCAGGGAGCAAGCACUGACUCCUCAGGGGAACAGGAGACCUGCCAACUAGGACCCUGGGAGCCUCCAUGCUGGCAGUGCCCUGGGUCAUCUCAGGCUCAUCAGCAAAUCCUGGGGGGAGAGCGGGGCUGGAGGGCGAAGAAACCCAGGAGAGUUCCUGGCUCAGAACCCCUCUCUGAGGCUCCCGAUACAGAGCCCAGGCCCCACACCCAGAGACUCUGAGUAUUUUUGUUUAUUGUAUGUAAAAUACUAGUGUAUUUUUGUUUAAGUCUCACGGGUAAACAGGUUCUCUCAUACUUUGCCAAGGGAAAUGUUAUCUGUGCAAUUUGGCAAUAACUAUCAGAAUUUUAAAAGCUUAUGCCCUUUGACCUAGUAAUUUCACUUCUAAGAAUUUCCCCUGCAGAGAUAUGUAUAUCUUGUAUGAAAUGAAGAGGCUAUGAAGACAGGCAACGCCACAGUGUUUAUAAUAGCAAAGACCGGACGCAACCCACAUGUCUAAAGGUUCUGAUUUUUAAAACUGUAGUAUAUCUGUACAAUGAGCACUCCACAUGCUUUAAGAAUGAGGAAGGGCUGUGUGAACUGAAAUGGAACUAUCUCUAAGAUGUAUUAAGUUAAAAAAACUCAAGAGUAGCACAGUGUGUAGGGUAUGCCAUCAUUUGUAUGAUAUAAGGUCGUAUAUCUGCCAUCUCAAAUGAGGAACAGUGGUUGACUCUGGGAAGGGAACUGGAUGGCUAGGAAUGGGGUAGGAAAGAGGUUUGCUUUUCAGAACAUUUUAUACCAUUUAAGUUUUGUAACAAGUGCAUCUAUAUUGACUUACAAGAUAAAAAAUGAAAAGGAAAGGCUCCGCUAGUGAUUCUGAUGCUCACAAAGAUUAAGAACCAAUGCGAAUGAGGAACUCCUGAGACCACCCAGGACAGAGUGAACAUAUCUCUUCAAAUAUCAAAAACCAUUCAGCAGAGGGUGAGAACACGUGCCCGGGGUACUAUUGUCAGACUCAUUUUACAGACAGGAAAAGCAAGGGAUAGAGAAGGUAAGUAACUUUUCCAAGGUCACAUGGCUAUUAAGUAGCAGAGCUGUGAUUCAAAUAUAAGCAGUUUGGCACCAGACCCUGUGCACUUAACUGCUUGCAUCUCAGUUGGGAGCACUGACUGGUUCAGCUAUUGGGAAGGAAGAAAGGGGAUGGCGAAGCCACAUAACCCCUAGGAGAUUCUGGAAUAAAUAUGCUUCAGAGCCAUUCACCUUGAAGCUGAGGAGGCAUGGAAGCAGGUCACCUGUGUUCUGUACAGCAUCACCAGGCUGGAAAUCUGCCAUGGCUUUCCUUCAUGCCAUUACAAUAGAGGAUACAGAUGAGGCUGCAGAGGCAUCUUGAUUUGAGAAAAGCAUUUGAUUGGAUCUCAUUAAAUUUUAAUCAUAAACUGAAUUCAAAAUAAAUUGAAAACUGGUUGACAGAGCACCAACAAAGGGUGAUGAUAAAUGGUGAUGCAUCUAGAGGGGAGCUAUCUUCCAGGGGACAACUCUAAGGCAAGGACGGAUGGGAUUUAAUGAAGGUGUUAUGUCCCCAGAAGAAGACAAAUAGCGCAGCAAGGAACAGAGGAAGGACAGGAGUGAGCAGCCUGAGUAAUUAAUAAACCAUAUUAACAGCUCCUCCAUAAUCAGGCCUUGGUGAUCACAACUGCUUGGAUUUUUUCUUAAGCUUUCUUUGAGUCAGGAAUAGGUUUGAAGAGUCCUGGAGACACACAGCAUGAAUAUUUCAGGUGGACAUUAAAAAGAAAUCUAUAAAUUUACAGCUGGGAGGAUCCUGAGAUCUACUUUGGAUCAGAAACUUUCAAUUACAAGAUUCCCAAGGCCUUACUUCAUUCCCCAGAGAGUAAUCUUUUUAAUAAAUGUCCAAAAGUCAUGGAUUUAAAAAAAAAUCUGUAAACUCAUUAAUGUCCUUUGUUUCCUGCCCAAAUGCAUGCAAACUUUAAUAACACUGGUUUGCUGAGUGGAAGGUUGGUUUUGAGUGAACUGUUUGGCUCAGAUUCAAACUCCAGUGAACAAAUACUUCCAAGUUUACUUGCAGAAUUUCCCAUACAGAGAAGUUCUUCCACUGGGCUUGCCAGAGGAUUUGAAACAGUGGCGAGCCCUGGAAGGAAGGGAACAUUUACUGGCCCUUGGACAUAAACCCAGCACAGUAAGACUCCAUCAGGCUGAAAGCAGUGCAGUAUGAACCGACCUGAUUUGAGGACGUUUGCUCUGGGACUCCUCUGAGCUACUAAAUGAGGAGGAGAAGGACUAAUGGGAACGCACUGACUCCUUCACAUUAGAAGUUAUAAUAAACAUUUAGAGAACAACCUCAAA